rnacentral:sRNA from 1 species
UAUCAUACUAUGGUGUGUGCUUGAUGC